rnacentral:pre_miRNA from 1 species
UUUUUAACAUAAAUAUAUCCCAUACAUUAUUUGGGACAUACUUACAUUAAAA